AGUUACCUGGAAGGGUUCUAUCCUGUCUUCCCUGCUGCGGGGCCCACCUGACGGAAAACCCUGAUGUGGAAGGCCCCAGCACAGCAGGCCCCACAAGCAAGUCCAGCUGUGUGCUGCAAUGAUCAUCCAGUCAUCUAGAGGCUCCAAAUGCCUUAAUACAUGAUCGGCUCUGAUCAUCUCUCCAGCUUCCGAAUCCUGGAAUUUUCCUUUCAUGUAUGAAAUCAAGGAAUCAGGAACCUUAGGAAGACCUGCCCUUCAGAAAGACAAAUGCUGCAUGCUUCCUCUCAUGUUUAAAGACCAAAUUCAAAAGAAACGGAGAAAAUGGAUUUUGAUGCAUCAAGUGAAAGCACCCAUUGUUGAGAGCUACCCCCACCUCAUCCCUCAUUUUUGGAGGCAUAAGUUGUUCCCAAACUUUUAUUUUGGGGCAAAACCCGUCAUAAGCAACCUACAGUCCUCCUUAUAAUUAAUGUAAAACUGCAGACUUUCCAUCAACAGAAAAGUAGAGUCUUAGGCUGGCUGGUAGCAUGGCUAAUUUAGCUUUGUAAUGAGAUAAAGUAUGUAAUCAGAUGGCCAUGGGACCUAGGCAGCCAGACCCUGGGAAAUGUGCCGAUUUCUGACUGUGGUCUUUUGGGAUUGUCUCCUUGGGUCCACAGAGGGGAGUCAAGAAACCUGAUUGCUGGUGACCCUGGUCAUGGAGGCACCCUCUCUUCUGUCUUGGCCAGGGUGCAGUGGAGUUGAUUGCUCUACCGGAAACCUCCUGGACAAGCAGAGGGUGUAUGUUUACAAGCCGGUGGACCGUUUGCAUGCUUGUGUGUGGACAGGAGUCGGGAGACCCCAGAAUGCACUGGAGCCAGUGGUUCAUGGUGAGGCAGACGGUGUUCAGAGAGCAUGGUAUACAGACAGAGCUGGCUCUAUGGUGGACUCUCCGUAAGGCGCCUUUGGGAGAGCCAUAGGGCUGCCACUUGGUAGAAGUGAGUAAGAUGCUGAACACCUCUGUGUGGUCAGCCCCCUAAAAACCAAAGUUCCCUGUCAUGGCUCAGAAACAUUGCUGACACAUGGAGUGAGGAAAACCUCCACAUUGUAUAUUCAAGCCACAACCAAGCUCUCUCUGGAGUGGAUCCAGGGGAGCAGAGAAAAGGGAGGAGCCAUAUGGACCUUCACCUUCAUAGGCCGUGCAACCACCUUCACCAAUACCCAGCUGGCACCAGCCCAAUGCUGAUUUGAACAGUUCUAUUCCCAAGGCCUGGUCAGAGGCCCAGGGUGGUUUAGAACGGAAAGCACAUUGGGGAGGGUGGAUGCAGAGCCAGGAGAGCCCUAGAGACCAAGAAGAAAAAUAAGAAAUAGAACCCAUGGAGAGGGAAGGCCAAAUACUUGUGGAAAGGGGGCGUUCACUGUUUAGGCAGGGAGCUGCACUGGGACACAUGGGGACAUGAUGAGGUGGUUAUUAGGGCUCAUUGGAGUCCACCUAUUUGUCUAGGCUGGAUGGCAGCAAACACCAGGGAUCCCCCUACCUCUGCCCCCGUCCCAGAAUUGGGAUUAUAGCUUUUUAUAUGCAUUCUGGGGAUUCCUAACUCAGGACUGGCUGGGUAAAAGACAGGUCUUUAGCUGUCCUCAGUAGAACACCAGCCUUGAAGGGUAUAGAAACAAAUUCUUCCAAAGAAUCCGUUGUCUGUCUGGCUUUUUCCGCUCCCUGGAAAUCACAGGAAAUGGUACAAAGUUCUUUGGCAAUUUAACACUGAAAUAGUCCCUAAGGACCGCUAACAACAAUGGCACUUUGAAGUCUUCUGGCUGACCCAUAUCCUCCUAGCUUCACUCAGUCGAUGAAGAGCACCGACCUAGGAAGAACUUCCUGCAAUGCAGAGAAUUUCUUUUCUUAAUUCUGCUUUUUAAAAAAAUUAUUAUUCUUUAUUUUAUUUGUGUGUGUGUGCGUACACACAUGCAUGCACUCAAUAGUGCAAAUGUGUGUUCACUUACAAGUGCAUGUGGUAAUCAGCUGUCACCUUGAAUAUCAUCUUUACAAACACUAGCCAUUUCUUUUGAGACAGGGUCUAUCCAUUGGCCUGCAGCUAGCGGAUCAGGUUAAGCUGGCUGAGCAGUGGGCCCCAAGGAUCCUGCCUCUACCUCCCCAACACUGGGCUUACAAGCGUGCACCACCACACCCACCAUUUUACAGGGAUUCAGUGUGUCAGACACAGGCC